ACGGGUAGCAUGUGAGCUCAGCUUGUGACAAGGCUGCGACCUAACCACACAAUGGUGUCCUUUACAGAGAAGAGGGCUCUCAAAGCUUCAAAAAGGCGCCUCGCUACUCCAUGCACCCACUUAAGAGCCAACAGCACAUGUCGCUUUAUUCGGACCAUAUGAUUCGGCCAUGGGUCUCGGCUCGGCGAGCGUCGUUGUAGCCCGGCAAGGGAUCAAGAUUGUCAUUUGUAGGACCAAGGCCCCCAAACGAGAGACAUAUGAAGCUUUAAACAGGUAUUUUGCACGUUUGCACAAGUUGACCCACAUUUAUCCCUUUUGAGUUUUGGGCUUCGGGAAACGAAUAAAGAACACAUGUUUCAUAUGUGGAUGGUCGUACUCUGCAAGACGGAGUGUGUACUCGGCAUAUUUGUACGGAAAUAAACAGGUAAGUUUGCAUGAAUUAUUUGGAGGUGCGCAUCUUAUGUUGACCCUUUCCGGGUCGUGCUGUGACGUCACGCGGCUUGCUGUCAAAAAAUAGCAUUCGUAUCAAAACGUUUUUAGUCUCAGGAUAUAACCACAGUAAUAAUAAUAUUGUCUUGCUUUCAACUGUAUUGCUAUAAACCAAAAUUCCAUUUGCAAAGUGCUUCUUUUAUUUUAAAUUCCAUAUUAGACUGCGCACUCCAGAUAAUAUUCCGUUUUAUCGCCAUUAUACAGGUUUAUGUUGCCACCAUGUGGUUUCUUGAGCAAUUUUUCGUCUCACUUUUUUGGCUUGCACUUUUGAUGUUUUAUUUGGGACUUCAUGUUCAAUGGGGUAUGAAUUCAAUAUUUGACUUCAUUGAUAUUUUGUCAUUUGUAAUUCAGCCAAAUUACCUGGAUAACAAUGCUCAACAAAGAAUGAAAUUAAACUUGAACAAGGCCAACCACAUUGCUUUUAUUAAUUGCUUUUAUCACAGUUAAUAAAGCAUUUGAUUCAUUCAGUGUGUCGUUAAAAAACAGUUUUCAUGCUGCAGCAGGUAACGUGAGCUAUUAGCUUAGCUGUGAAAUGACUUCAAGGUGCAACUUAAGGCAUAAUACGUUUUUUGGCAAUGUCUACUGUUAUUUGAAUGAUUAUUUUGUUUUCUGUGUUUUUCUCCUACCCACUUCAGUAGCCACUGAGCCCACAGUGGCACCCACCAUGCCUCCAAUGGGCCCACCAACAAAGAGCCCGACGAGAGCCCCGAGCAAGGCCUCCCUUCUCACCAUAGUAGGCAGCCAUGUCAACCAUCCCACCAACUUCUCCCACAAGCCUCGGACAGAAGAGGCAGCAGGAGAGGAAGGUGAGAUGCUGGAAGAGGGGAAAAUAUGAUCUAAAUCCAUAUUUAGGUCUCCUAUGCUUCCUUCUGCCUCUUCCAGGACUUCCUCUAUGUCUUCAUCAGUCACCUCUGAGUCUACAAGAGAUGAGGGAUCAUCAUGUGCUUCCUCCCUCCUCUGUCUCACUAGUUCCAGCUGCCUCUUCUUCACUUGUUCACUAACCUCCUGGUAAAGAGGGCAGCUGAAGUGCUGGUCUUCACUCUCUUCCACGACCUGUUCAACUUUGUUUAGCAGAUUUUCAACAGCUUCGCUCGCCUUCGGUUCUUCACUCUGGUUCUCCAAGGUGUGAUAUCGACCGCCACAUCUUUCCAAGAGCGUACGGAGGUCCUUACGCCACGUGAUGAGGUAAUCCUCCAGCGUCUCCUCCUCUUCCAGCUCUUCCAUGUUGGUGAAGAGGAUGAUGGUGUUUCUGCUGACCGAGGAGGGGCCUAACAGUUUCUCCAGGACGUCGAGUGCUUUGGUUUCUCCGUCAGCUGCUUCGUUCACAGGGACACACAACAAAAAUGCAUGCGGCCCCGGGCUGGAUAAAGUAAUCAAGGAGGAGAUGUGUCUUCUUCUUUCCUCUGGGUCGAGGUCUGAACUGAACCAAUCGGCACUGGAGACAACCAGCACCUAGCCACAAAAAUUAAGGGAAGACAACACCAAGGGAUAAAAUGUGCGAAUAGUGAAUUGUACUGGAAUAAAGUAAAAAAAUAUAAAUAUAUAAUAUAAAAUACAUAUAUAUAAAUAUAUAAUAUAAAAAAUAUAAAUAUAUAAUAUAAAAUAAAUAUAUAUAAGUAUAUAAUAUAAAAAAUAUAUAAAAAUGGGUGUGUCCUGUCUCGGUCCUACCUGUCUCCCUGCGGCUUCUCCUCUGUAUUUACAACAGCCAUUAGUGUCUGGAUCUUCAUUUCCCUGAUUUGUGUCUUGCAGGCCUAAGAUGCUGCAGACCGUCGCCCGCCCUCCGGUGCCGUUGCGGCCCAGGACGACCACCCUCAACUCUGCGCAGAAGGGAGAUGCAUAUUGCUGUGCAUUAUUAGGAAAGAAAACAUUAAAAGAAUUUCACGCGAUAGUUAAAAGUUAAAAACUGAUCAUAUGUUUGUGGACUUAAAAGAAUGAAAUGUCACCAGCGCCCUUUUCGUUACCGUCAUACUUUCAACAUUACACAAACUUUUCUACGACCAAAAUGUCAUCGCUUUGAAACACCUUCAUUAUUACAUAAGUAUACCUCCCCGACCGACCUUUUUGAACACCAGAAGCGGACAUGUCGAACGGUUUGCUGUCGUUUUUAGCAAGGAAUCAUCAGGCGGAGACGUUUCCUCAUUCCUGCAGGAUGACUCGCCCUAUUGACGGUCAACUGUAUCCGUGUAACACGGGGGCGCAGCGCCGACUACUGUCGCAUCGAGGAAACACAUCAGGGGUGCCCAGGCUUUUUUUUUCUUUUAUUGUAAAAUUGUAUAGCAAAGCAAUUUGGCUUUAUUGGGGUUAUGAAUGACCUCUUGUAAAUAAAAAAUAGUUUUAAAAGCCCACAGUUACAAUUAGGUUCCUUUAAAGGGUGUCUAUCAGUUUUAUCAAAUGUACAAAACACUUGGGAAUGGAUUUUUUUUUUUUAUACAAAGGAGAAAAUGUUAAAUGAGGAAUAUAUCACCUUCUAUUAAAGAUGACUAAAAGGUCACAGAUGUUCCUUAACAAAGCAUUUAAAAA